AUUCUCUCUCUCUCACGUCCGAAACCACCCAAAACAGAGCAAAACUUCUCCAAACUCUCUCUCACUCCACCGGCCACCAAUCAAGACCAGAACACUUCCUAUAGCUUCGCCUCGACCUUGCGCAGCUGCAGGUGGCAGCCUUGAACCACGACACGGCCACCAGCGGCGGCGGGAAGCUCCGCCCGGUUUGAGCUCGUUUUGGUUCCAAGCUUGAUAUCUCAAGCUACCGGCCAACAAUCCUCACCAAACUUCACCCACGAGCUCGCCUCAACGUCCUGAAGCUCCCAGAAGUGGCCUUGCACGGCGGCGCUACUCGUGGUGGCGGCUGGAAGCCAGACCCGAUCAAAUCGAAAAACCGAAGCUUCGAUCGGUAUAUCUCGAGCUGUAGUGCAUCGUUUUGAUUGAUUCUUUUUCCAGUGGGUUCCCCUUGAUGUUGUUAACAACUCUCUAGAAGGCAUCGAGGCCUGAAAUUGAAGUUUUUACGUCGAUCGGAGCCCUCGCCGGAUUCUGCAAAAUUCUGCAAAUUUUCCGACCACCGAAGCUUUCGAUCGGUAUAUCUCGAGCUACAGACCAUAUUUUUCUGUGAUUCUUGAACCAAUGCGUUCGUCUUGAGUUUCUUAACAACUCUCUAGAAGGAAUCGAAGCCUGAAAUUGAAGUUUUGACGUCGAAAUCAAGCCUUGCCGGAUUCUGCAAAUUUCGCCGGAUUCUGGAAAUUUUCCGGCCACCUCGACUGUUCUAGGUUAUCGACGGAUUGAUUUGGUGGACGAUUCGGAUUGAUGUAUUUGGCUUUUUAGAAGACGCAGCUGGAUUAGAGGUUAUCGACGGAUUGAUUUGGUGGACGAUUCGGAUUGAUGUAUUUGGCUUUUUAGAAGACGCAGCUGGAUUAGAGCGGGAAAUCCUACAGGUCAGGAAGAUCAAGGCGGAGAUCGUGCGGGUUAGAGUUUUUGUUUCAGUUUACAGCUUUGUAAAUUGUGAGAUGUAUUAUUAAGAGGUGUGAAGUGUGGUUGUUGUGAGAAAAAAAAUUCAGGACGUUUAUUCUAUUAAGUUGUAUAAUUCAUGUUUCGGAUUUUAAUUGUAUUUAAAAUUCGG